GUCAAAAAUUACGAUUAGAAUAAUGAAAUAACAUUCAAAAAAUCAAAUUUUUGGGGUGAAAUAUCACUCCCAAACAAGGCUGAGUAAUAACUACAGGAUUUUUGACAAAACUUGGUCAAGAAAUUAGGUUGGUUAAAUAAAAGAUUCCAUGUUCAAUGCUGACAAAUUCCAACUGGUGCAUCGUUCAAUAACACAUGGCUAAUAUGUUACAAAAGUUGUGCCAUUCUGUUUCCACUUUGCUCUUCCAGCUUUAUGCUCAAAAUGUUAGGUGCUCCAUUAUCACCUACUUUACAAGCUGCCAACCAACAAGUAGCACAUCAUAACAUGA
rnacentral:lncRNA from 1 species